GAUGAACGCUGGCGGCGUGCAUAACACAUUCAAGUCGAACGGAGUUAUUGGAGAGCUUGCUUGAAGAUAACUUAGUGGCGGACGGGUGAGUAACGCGUGAGCAACCUGCCCUUAUGUUCGGGAUAACGACCGGAAACAGUCGCUAAUACCGAAUAACAUAUUCUGAUUGCAUGGUUAGGAUAUCAAAGAUUUAUUGCAUAAGGAUGGGCUCGCGUCCCAUUAGAUAGUUGGUGAGGUAACGGCUCACCAAGUCGACGAUGGGUAGCCGGACUGAGAGGUUGGCCGGCCACAUUGGGACUGAGACACGGCCCAGACUCCUACGGGAGGCAGCAGUGGGGAAUAUUGGGCAAUGGGCGCAAGCCUGACCCAGCAACGCCGCGUGAAGGAAGAAAGGCUUUCGGGUUGUAAACUCUUUUGUCAGGGACGAACAAAUGACGGUACCUGACGAAUAAGCCACGGCUAACUACGUG
rnacentral:rRNA from 1 species